UACGUAGGGGGCUAGCGUUGUCCGGAUUUAUUGGGCGUAAAGAGCGUGUAGGCGGCCAGGUAGGUCUGCUGUGAAAACUCGAGGCUCAACCUCGAGACGCCGGUGGAAACCAUCAGACUAGAGUCCGGAAGAGGAGAGUGGAAUUCCUGGUGUAGCGGUGAAAUGCGCAGAUAUCGAGGAAGAACGACCCGUGGCGUAAGGCGGCUGCUCUAGUACGGUACGUGACGCUGAAGCACGCGGAAAGCGUGGGGAGCGAACAGG
rnacentral:rRNA from 1 species